CGCCUGUUUAACAAAAACAUGUCCUUUUGAAUUUAAUUUAAGGUCUAGCCUGCCCAGUGAAUAUUUUAACGGCCGCGGUAUACUGACCGUGCAAAGGUAGCAUAAUCAUUAGUCUUUUAAUAGAGGGCUGGAAUGAAAGGUUUCACGAGGAAUAAGCUGUCUCAUUUUAUUUGUUUUAAAAUUUAAUUUUUUAGUUAAAAAGCUAAAAUAUUGUUGGAAGACGAGAAGACCCUAUAGAUCUUUAUAGGGACUUAUUUAAAUAUUUAUAUAUUAAUGUAUUUACAUGAUUCUCUAUUUUGUUGGGGUGACAAAAAUAUAUAAUUAACUUUUUUAUUUAAUUAACAUUGAUUAAUGAAUAUAUGAUCCACUAUUAGUGAUUAUUAGAUUAAGUUACCUUAGGGAUAACAGCG
rnacentral:rRNA from 1 species